rnacentral:rRNA from 1 species
AGAGCGAACGCUGGCGGCAGGCCUAAUACAUGCAAGUCGAACGAGCCCUUCGGGGUUAGUGGCGGACGGGUGAGUAACACGUGGGAACGUGCCUUUUGGUUCGGAACAACUCAGGGAAACUUGAGCUAAUACCGAAUGUGCCCUUCGGGGGAAAGAUUUAUCGCCAUUAGAGCGGCCCGCGUCUGAUUAGCUAGUUGGUGAGGUAAAGGCCCACCAAGGCUACGAUCAGUAGCUGGUCUGAGAGGAUGAUCAGCCACACUGGGACUGAGACACGGCCCAGACUCCUACGGGAGGCAGCAGUAGGGAAUCUUGCGCAAUGGGCGAAAGCCUGACGCAGCCAUGCCGCGUGAAUGAUGAAGGUCUUAGGAUUGUAAAAUUCUUUCAGCGGGGACGAUAAUGACGGUACCGCAGAAGAAGCCCGGCUAACUUCGCGCCAGCAGCCGC